GCUGGGCGUGGUGGCACAUGCCUGUAAUCCUAGUGACUCGGGAGGCUGAGGCAGGAGGAUGGCGAGUUUCAGGCCAGUCUGGGCAAUUGAGUGAGACCCUGUUUCAA
rnacentral:sRNA from 1 species